rnacentral:lncRNA from 1 species
AUGGACCCACUCAGCUUUUUUUCAGCAAUAGGAUGGGGGUUAGGGGGCUGGCAGCAUAGGAGAAAGUCAGUGAUUAGAUGGCACUUGAGAGGUGGAUUAGAGAGAGGGGCAAAGCUUCAGAAGAGGACACAAGAGAAUGGAGAGGAUGCUGGCAAAGCAGAGACAGAGUGUGUAAACUGGAGGGAUCCAGGGUACCGCACAGAUGCUUCAUAUACACUUCAUCAGCUAAAGCUCAAAAUGCCUAAGCACACGACAGCGAGCAAUGCUUAUGAAGGGUCCUAUUGAAUGGCUGAAGAAAGGUGAUCAGACAUCAGAAUUUAUAGCAGAGAAAGCAGCUGUUCUGUUUUGGAAAGCCAUGGAAUUGCUUUGGGGUGGUCUUCAAGGAGCAGUCAACAAACCUUCAGGUGAAUGUCAGAUACUCAGGGCUGCCUGACCCCAGGCAAUAAGAAUAAUGGAGAGUUGUGGACAAUUUCAGAAUUGAGAGUGUCUUAAAAGUAAGACUAUUCUUGGCAAAGUAGCCAAAGUUUUACACAUAUAGAAACAUAUUAAACAAAUGUGCACAGAUGCCCUUCAACUUGUCACUCUGGGCAGUAAAACCAUUAAGUGGCAAUAUUAGGCCUUAAGUACAUUCACUUGAACUAGUUUAACUUAUGUUUCAGAUAAUGAAUCAAGUAAGUUCUUAGACUUUCACUCUUCUUAUUUUUCUUUCUUCUGAAUUUAAAUCCUAGUUCACUCCUAGGUUUCAGUAUUCUGGGAGAUCUGAUUUGUAUAAAAUAGAUGUAAAGAUAAGCCCUCCUUAUUUAUAACCAGACCACAGAAUGGUCAGUGGUGAGAGAAAUAUCCCCCUGGUUCAGCUCUGUAAUCCUGAAGACAGCUAAAGGAGAAGUUGGUUGGUAGGCAGGUAUCUGUUGAUGGCAUGAUGCACUUAGAUCUGCUUUCCAUGGGUAAUGUUCUGUUUGGUUGGUAGCCUGGUUUGUUGUUUUUCAGGAAAAAUACUGCAGAUAUAUACAUAUACUUCCAUGCUGCUGUCCUGGUUUCCACAAUCCAGGAUCUAAGCUUGCCCUCUGUUUCAUUUGUGUCCCUUUAGAGACUCAAAAUUGAUAUAUGAAGUGGAAUUAGCUUGGGUUGAUGCAAAGAAAGGUCAGGGACUUUUCAAAAACAGUGAUGGAAAAAGGAUUAAAUAAACCAGACAAACCAAGAUGGCAGGAGAAAAGAAAAAAAAAAAGGGAAGAACCAAAAAUGAUGAUUAAUGUUGAUGAUGCUGGUUUAAUUGAGAAAUAUAAAGGCUGCAAAACAUUGUGAAAUCAAAUUAAUGACCUGGAAAAUAAACUCAGACUAAGAAAUGUCGGAUUGGAGAAUAAUCUUGAUGGGGUAGAAGAAACAAUGACAGUUUUUCCCCCAUAGAACAUUGCAAAACUGCUUUGGGUGAAUAAUUUUUAAUUCCUUCCACAAGAUGUAUCUUAAUUUCACUAAAGUUUGAUGCAAUCUGUAUUUUAUAUGUGAAAUGAGAAAUUCUUACAGCGAAAAGACAAAUAUCUUAACUUGCUUUGGCCUCUGAUGACUUUCUGUUUCUGUAGAGAAGCUGACAGUUACUGGCUUUGAUUGUUUUUGAUUAUAUAGGAUGAAAAUCAAAGUUGUUAACAGUCCUAAACGUUAUGAGUCAAAUGCUUAUCUGGCUACCUCCAAUGAUCAUACUUAAAACGCAUACUCCUUCGAACUAUUAUCUUGAUAAGUAUCUUUUCAAGGUUGUGCUGAAUCAAAAGAAUUUUUGAAUAGUAAAGAGGAAAGUAUUUUAGAGAGGAUGAGAGCAGCAAAGUACUUUCUUUGUUCCUGAUCCUAACUUGAGAUUCCCAGAAUCAGUCCUAGAGUCACAGUGGGUAAAUGGCCUUUUAUUUAUGGGAUGUGGUAUGAUGUUUUCAGGAAAAAUACUGCAGAUAUAUACAUAUACUUCCAUGCUGCUGUCCUGGUUUCCACAAUCCAGGAUCUAAGCUUGCCCUCUGUUUCAUUUGUGUCCCUUUAGAGACUCAAAAUUGAUAUAUGAAGUGGAAUUAGCUUGGGUUGAUGCAAAGAAAGGUC